rfam:Trichobilharzia regenti genome assembly, scaffold: TRE_scaffold0006882
GUACUGAUGAAGAGUCCCAAACUAGGGUGAAACAGCUGUCCAGUAC